rnacentral:lncRNA from 1 species
UGGGGGAGCAUCCAUUUGAUGAGAGUAGGCACCACAUUGACGAAAAGAGUGGCCAGCAUCCCUGCAAAGAAAGUAAUGGAGUCUGUUCACGUAUGCACUCUUGAGGUGCCCAAUAUCUCCACAGUGGAAGCAGGAUCCAGCUCUUUUGAUCUGCUCCCACCAUUGCUUGACUACCAGGUGCAGAGGAAGAUGCUUGCUGG